rnacentral:tRNA from 1 species
GACUUCGUAGUGUAAUUGUCAACACACUCGGCGCGUAUUCGAGUGGUCCGUGGUUCGAGUCCCUGCGAGGGUA